GAUGAACGCUGGCGGCGUGCUUAACACAUGCAAGUCGAACGAUGAAGCCCAGCUUGCUGGGUGGAUUAGUGGCGAACGGGUGUGUAACACGUGAGUAUCCUGCCCCCAACUCUGUGAUAAGCCUGGGAAACUGGGUCUAAUAUCGGAUAGGAGCGUUCACCCCACGGUGGGUGUUGGAGAGAUUUAGCGGUUUUGGAUGGACUCGCGGCCUAUCAGCUUGUUGGUGUGGUAAUGGCUCACCAAGGCGACGACGGGUAGCCGGCCUGAGAGGGUGACCGGCCACACUGGGACUGAGACACGGCCCAGACUCCUACGGGAGGCAGCAGUGGGGAAUAUUGCACAAUGGGCGCAAGCCUGAUGCAGCGACGCCGCGUGAGGGAUGACGGCCUUCGGGUUGUAAACCGCUUUCAGUAGGGAAGAAGCGAAAGUGACGGUACCUGCAGAAGAAGCACCGGCUAACUACGUG
rnacentral:rRNA from 1 species